ensembl:lncRNA
CUGAGAAGAACGGCAACAUUUCUUUUAUUCAAAUUUUAUUGGAAGUUUACAAAUGUAUUACAGACAUCAGUAAAACAUCAUAUCCAUUUCACAGGGCACGGAUCUCAAGCAAAGUGUUCACAACAGUCUCUGGCAGAGCCCACACCAAAGGUCCACUGCAGGGACCUUCUUCACAAAUAGCUUGACACCCAACACACAACACAGACUCUGGUGUGCCUUACCUUCUCAGGCCCUUUGAGGUUUUGUUUACGCGCUUGGAAUUAAAGCAGAAGGUGGACAAAAUGAUCCUGUACAGGAAAGAAUGCGUUUAGGAGCAGGAGAACUGCCGAGGUCCUCAUCUGCUAGGGAAAAAGGACCCACAGGCCUUAGAAUGCGAAGUCAGGGUCCAGGAUAGAACCAAAUACUUUACGGAGAAACAUGGAAAUUAACUAGAAAGGCUUGAGUAAUUAUCUCUGAAACAUUUAAAAAGGCCUGGUCAGUGACCUAUGGAACAUCAAUGGCCAAAUACUUGGUAGGGUGAGGGACAUCUCAAAACUCUCAGGAUAGAAUAAGACACUCCCCCUACCCCCUCAUGGAUUCUGUAUCUAAACCACAGAAGUAAUUUCUAACACAAUGUUAGAUUCCUGUUGGGAAAAGCUAGUCUGGGGAAAGUUAUAAGCAGGAAGUAAGCUUAUAAACUAGUAUAGCCCCCAACAGUAAUUCACACUUUCUGGGAGUAUUGAAGGGACUUCUAUUUUGAGAAAAUGGAAAAGGAUUGCAAUCUUUUUUUAACUCUAACCUUGAUGACUACUUCCAAGUGGUCAGACAAACAGGCUCUGGUGUCUGCUGAGGCGCCAAAGGGACUGACCACUGGAAGCAAGACAAAAUUCUCUUCAUUUCCACGUCUCUCACGCUUUAAGAAACAUACCUCAAGAGGCAGCAAUCUGGAACUGCCUUCAAGAUUGGCAGAGGAGGCUUGGCUGAGUUCUGUACCUGGAAUGCUGUCCGCAGAGUCCUUUUCAAAGCCCUGAAGGUGCUAAACAGUUGCUGAUAGCAACCCUUCUGGCAUGAAAUCCUCAGAUGACUGAUUUCAAGGUCCACUUUCCUUUGUCAAAGAUAGAUCCUCCUUCUUACGCAUUAGCAUCUGGUUUCUGUUAGAGAGAAAUAUGCAAAGAGCACUUCUCCUUGGAAUUUAAGUAUUUGUGUUCUUUAUUAGAAGGUGGGACUAGAAAAGAAUAGGACGGACUCUUAUCUUACCUCUGCAAAAUGGCAAACACAGAUUGCUUAUAACUGGCCAAGAAUCCAAAAAUGGAAAAGGAGGCCAAAGAGAUUUUUGUUUAGUCUAAAGAAGUCAGCCUCCUUUAGCAUCUGCAAUACAGGGGCACAGGGAUUGGCAUCGCACAGUGAUUUAUGGAUGAUGCUUCCUGAAUAGCUGGUGAACUGUUUUGGGAAAAUGGCAAGAGAGUCCAGGGUAGAAACACAAGGAAGAAUCAGUUCACAAGUAAGAUUUGUUAUCAGACAAAGCAAAUCCAUUCGGAUCAACUGGUCCUGGCUGGCUAAAGUGUUGCAAAGAUUUCUGAGGCUGCAUCCAUGCUCUCUGAAAGGGUACCCUGGUUCUAUCUGCCCACAUUAUAGGUAUGGCAGAGACAGCCCCACCUGAACUCAACAAUGGCUAGUGGUACCCAAGAAGCAGAAAGCUAUUGCAGAAGAGGAAAAUAUAAUCUUGUUGUAUUGAAGAAACAUCCUAUAGAAUGGGACAAGGGGAAGAAAAAGAGCUAGCCUCAGUUCCCAUAUGAGAAAUGACAAACUGCUUGUUUGUGGGGCUGGCGGAGGGUGGACAGAAGGUGAAUAUAGGUGGACAGGGUCAAACAACCAACUCUAAAAACCACCCCCACCUUUGAACAUUGGCAAAAACUGAGAAGUAUGUUUUUGGUUUCCCUGACCUCACUUACCUUCACACUUGGUAGAAAUCCCAGAAUGCUAUGACAGAUGGAAGGCUACCUGAAUGCCACCAGCCUGCUAAGAAACUUGCUCAUAAUAUCAAGGUUGAUAGGCACUGGCAGUGCCAUUCAGAAAACUGUCACUGAUUUCUAACUUGGGAAAGGGCCAGUUCUGUUGCCAAUGAACUGAGCAGCAACAGGAAAUGAAAUGAAUGCUAAAGUGUGGUUUUAUCCAAAAGAUAAGAAGAUCAAUAUGAGGAGAGGUAGGAAGAAAAACCAAACCAAAGCAUGAGAGAAGAAAAUAAAUAGGGAAAAGAUAUACUUUUUUAAACACAGUCUAUUAAAGGUGAAAUGAUGGUCUAAGAAGAGAUGACUGCAAGCCUCAGCUGUGGAGGAAAGCUUGACUAAGUAAGAGCUCCUGGUGAUGAUCACGUAAGGAUCAGAUCCGGCCUCAGAAAGGAACAUGCUGAAUUUUGGGGAAUGGGAUUCUGGGAUGUUAGGUGUAAGUUAUCACUAAGAGGCAGAAUUCCCAACACAGUGACGACCUGCCCUCUCUCAGGCGUUCCCUUGGAGGUUCCAUCCUUGCGAUGAGGAUUUACCUGGCCUCUACCAGCAAUCUCCACAGGGUGCCUGGCUGCGUCUGGGGUGGGGAGGAGGCGUCUGCAGUGGUGGACAAGAUGGAGGUGAUCCUGCUUUUUCGACUGUCUGACCCUGAGGCUUGUAUCUCACCACACCUCCAGCUCUGACCAGUUCAGCUGAUGGAUGUUCCCUGGGUGGCUAGAUCUGAAACUGCUUAUUCCUCUCAUCCCUUUGCAUACUGCUCAGUUGCCAAUGUCUAGGGCACUUUCUUCUUUCUGCUGAUGGUGGUCAAAGC